AAGACCGUUCCUUCUAUCAAUUCAAAUAAUACUCUUGAAUAGGCGGGGAAAAAGAGAUUAAAACCCCGAAUGAUGUGUGUUUUAAUUAGACUGCAAACAUAAAAUUUAACUUUCAGGAUAUGACAGUUCCUAUAGUUUUUAAGCAUAUGGAAUAUAUUAAAUUUUGGCGCUUUGGCGGGACCGCUAAAGUGAGUAUUCGUGAUACGUAGAGAAAGAAAAGUGAUGUUAAGCCCGGAAGCAGCAGGGAUUAACGUUUUCUUAGCUUGUGUAAUCUUUCCAAGGCUUGCUUUAAUUUAUCAGCCAAUAUCCAACUUGCAAGCGUGCUUAAUUCCGCUAAUAAAGUUAAUCUAAAGUAAACAAUAAUAACCGUUCUUAAGUGGGUGGAAUAUGUAAAAAUUAUUCUCAUCAAGGUUGUCCCUUAUCAUCCCUUAGCUAAGUUAUUAAAUGAAACAUACUGAGCUUUUAUUAUCAUCAUUAACGUUGUAACCAUUUGUUCAAAAAUAACAAAGCGAUUCUACGGUGAAACGUUUUAUAGCUAGAAUCCGGAUCAUGAGUUUUUUCUUUCCAGACAACAAGUUAACCGGCGAAGAAGCCAAGCAGCAGGCGAACUUUAUAAAACCAAUAAUUUUCUUAAGUAAACAGACUCCGCAUAGCCGGUGCGUGUUACGUCUCCGUCGAGUUAUUCGCUUAUUUUUAAGUGGCGCGUUGGGUAAGUGACAACUAGAGACAAUUUCCCGUCGCGUGGAUGCAGCCCUUAUAAAAACCUUUUACUCACGGAAGACAUGAAUAAUCCGCAAAUAAAGCUUAAGUGAUGGAAAUCAAGAUUUUUCCAGUACUUGUGUUUGCCUUAAUUCUUCUAUGGACUUCACAGGAGCUUCAUGGAUAUACCGCGCAAUGGGUUCAUCACGGUAACCGCGGCUCAGGAAGAAAGAAGAAUGAAAUUUUACAAAAGGAGAGUAGAGGAACCGGAUUACCAUUGAGUAGAAGGAAACUGUGCAUGACUGCAAAAAUGCUUGGUUGUAACGAAGAGUACAGACAAGAAGAGCAGAUAACACAGGAGUGACGGAUAUGACAAGUUUCCGCAUGCAGUCAACCUGAACUUGCAGAAUAAUGGAAUUGCUAACGGCUUCCACAGGAAUUUACUGAAUUUGGGAAAUGUAAAGAACCAUUUAAGACAUUGAUAAAUGAAAAUAAAGCUACGUCUUCUUGAAAA